rnacentral:rRNA from 1 species
UGGCGACCGGCGCACGGGUGAGUAACACGUAUCCAACCUGCCGAUAACUCGGGGAUAGCCUUUCGAAAGAAAGAUUAAUACCCGAUGGUAUAAUCAGACCGCAUGGUUUGAUUAUUAAAGAAUUUCGGUUAUCGAUGGGGAUGCGUUCCAUUAGGCAGUUGGUGAGGUAACGGCUCACCAAACCUUCGAUGGAUAGGGGUUCUGAGAGGAAGGUCCCCCACAUUGGAACUGAGACACGGUCCAA